AUACGGAGGGAGCAAGCGUUAUUCGGAAUCACUGGGCGUAAAGGACGCGUAGGCGGGUUUGUAAGUCAGGUGUGAAAUCCUACAGCUCAACUGUAGAACUGCACUUGAAACUACAGACCUAGAGUAUGGAAGGGGCAGAUGGAAUUAGUGGUGUAGGGGUAAAAUCCGUAGAUGUCACUAGGAAUACCGAAAGCGAAGGCGAUCUGCUGGGACAUUACUGACGCUGAGGCGUGAAAGCGUGGGGAGCAAACAGGAUUAGAAACCCGAGUAGUCC
rnacentral:rRNA from 1 species